AUUGAACGCUGGCGGCAGGCUUAACACAUGCAAGUCGAGCGGGGAAAGGUAGCUUGCUACCUGACCUAGCGGCGGACGGGUGAGUAAUGCUUAGGAAUCUGCCUAUUAGUGGGGGACAACAUCUCGAAAGGGAUGCUAAUACCGCAUACGUCCUACGGGAGAAAGCAGGGGACCUUCGGGCCUUGCGCUAAUAGAUGAGCCUAAGUCGGAUUAGCUAGUUGGUGGGGUAAAGGCCUACCAAGGCGACGAGCUGUAGCGGGUCUGAGAGGAUGAUCCGCCACACUGGGACUGAGACACGGCCCAGACUCCUACGGGAGGCAGCAGUGGGGAAUAUUGGACAAUGGGGGGAACCCUGAUCCAGCCAUGCCGCGUGUGUGAAGAAGGCCUUUUGGUUGUAAAGCACUUUAAGCGAGGAGGAGGCUACCGAGAUUAAUACUCUUGGAUAGUGGACGUUACUCGCAGAAUAAGCACCGGCUAACUCUGUG
rnacentral:rRNA from 1 species